UUUAGGGUGAGUAGGUUAUUAGCCUUCUGCACCCGAGUUUGGUGCUGGGGCUGCCAGCUGGAGCGUCCAAACCCGCCUCAGUGUACCUGGAUGUUUGACGAUGUUGUUGAUGUCCCGCACUUGACGUGGUGAAAGUGAGGUUAUACCGCCUCAUAUUCGGUCGCCAGAGCCUCGUUUGUCGAAAUCAGGGCGCACCACGUGAAGGGAGGUUGGCAGUUGGCACCCACGGCCCUUGCGCCCCAUACUCAAUUAUAAACAAAAGAUAUUCUCCCCUUUGUACAAACAAUGGAUUAUAUUUUUGUAAUAUCAUACAGUGUCAUGAGCAUAUCCAGUGAUGAAUAUUUACUGUAUAUUCCUUUUUUGAACCAGUUUAUGUUGAGAUGCAAAGAUGUUGGUUUAAUGAUUAAAUGGGAAUGGGAUACGUUUUGGACCGUAAAUAAAAUGGCUACAAUAAUUGGAUAUUUGGACAGUCGUGUGCCACCGAGUAAGCCUACCCAGUUGCAGUUUGAUCAUCUGCGUGCAGUAUUUGCACCACCCAAAAUAUGAAUACAAAUAUGGCGUUGAAGACCAUCAUACACAUGACUUGAAAUCUGCUGAAGAGGAACGCGACGGAGAUGUUGUCAAGGGAUGGUACAAACUGGAGCAGCCCGAUGGCAGGACUCGUAUUGUUCAUUACACCGCUGACAAACACAAUGGAUUCAACGCUGAUGUCAAAUAUUCCGGUCACGCUGAUCAUCCUUAUCAUUAUUAAUCGAUUAUAUGUAAUGAAUUAUUUAGUGCAAGAUAUGCUUUAUAUUUUCUAAUAAAAUUUCAUUAACAGCAAAGAAA